UACGUAGGGUGCAAGCGUUAAUCGGAAUUACUGGGCGUAAAGCGUGCGCAGGCGGUUGUGCAAGACAGAUGUGAAAUCCCCGGGCUCCAACCUGGGAACUGCAUUUGUGACUGCACGGCUAGAGUGUGUCAGAGGGGGGUAGAAUUCCACGUGUAGCAGUGAAAUGCGUAGAUAUGUGGAGGAAUACCGAAUGGCGAAAGGCAGCCCCCUGGGAUAACACUG
rnacentral:rRNA from 1 species